rnacentral:rRNA from 1 species
UACGUAGGGCGCAAGCGUUGUCCGGAAUUAUUGGGCGUAAAGAGCUCGUAGGCGGUGUGUCACGUCGUUCGUGAAAACCUGCAGCUUAACUGUGGGCGUGCGGUCGAUACGGGCAUCACUGGAAUUCGGCAGGGGAGACUGGAAUUCCUGGUGUAGCGGUGAAGUGCGCAGAUAUCAGGAGGAACACCGGUGGCGAAGGCGGCCUUCUGGACAGUGACUGACGCUGAGACGCGAAAGCGUGGGGAGCAAACAGG